GGAUAUGUUUCAUGCAAAUCCCUAUUUUUUUUAACAUAAUAGUCCACUAUUAGUAAAUUGCAAGCAAACAGAGAAGAUGGAACAUAGAGGUAGCUUUGAGGGAGAUGGUAUCUUGCAUGGAGUUGGAGAUGCUAGCUAACAUGGAAUAACUCUAGGAGUGACUCAAGGUUCUUAUUGGGAUGUAUUUGCUGGCUCUUAAUGGGGAUAUACUUGCUGCUAAUUCAUUCCACUGUGAGUUCUUCAAAGUGUCGAAACACUUUGGAGUGUUACCAGAAAGGUAUUUUUUAAUUUAGUUAGUUUUGUGGCCAUGCCUAUAGGCUAGAAAAAUCUGUUUGAGAUUGAGUUUAAAUUAGUUAGUUUUGGGUAGCAAAUUCUAUUUGUAAAUUUUGUGUGAAAAUUCUGUGUCGAAGCAAUUUAGUUAGUUUUGUGAUAUCAUUGCAACAUCAAACAAGAUGCAUCAAACAAGAAACAAAUGGAUAUUGAUGUAUAUCAUGCUAGAUUUUGCCAACUAGAAAAUGUUCCUGAAUUUAAAUUAGAAUGGUCUUGUAAUUCACUUUAAAUAAAAUAUUUUGUAUAGCAUGAUAUAUUUGAUGUGGUUGCCUAUACAAUAGGAUGAUAUAUUUGAUGUGGUUGGCUAUUGUAUAGCAAUUUGGUUUGAAGAAUUCUUAUAAUGUGUCAGGGCAUGUUUCGGAUAUACACUUCCGAAUUCACCCUUUAUUUUUUAACGAAAACAGAUGGUUUUCGGAUAUGCAUAUCUGAAACAUGCCCUGAUGGUUUUUUUUUAACAUUUUGGAUAUGCAUUUUCGAAUUAUGCAGAACCAGCAACAUAAUUUAUUUAGGCAGAAUCAGUAUCAUAGAAACAUAAAAACAUUUAAAUCGGUAAAAGUAAACAGAGGUAAAAUGUUGAAUAGAUAUAUCAUAUAUGUAUUGAAACGUAUAGAAUUUACAUUGUGCACGACAAUAUAUUUCCGAAGAGACGCAAUUUUUCAUCCCCAAAUAUGCUCCAAUGCAAGGAAAUGAGAGAUGAAAUGAGGAAAGUUUACCUUAAAUUGUAAUUUUUUAUGCUCUCUUUGACUUGAUAAAACACUUGAAACUUGGUUUGAAGACGAAAAAUAGAUUGAGAAUGGAUGAAGUUUUUUUGGAGGGUUUUGAUUAUGGGUGAAAUGAGGAGAGUGAAAUAGUUCAUGCAGGAAAGUGGUAUAAGCUGAAUAUUUUCGAAAAUACAUCUCCGUUUAAAUUUAACGUUCAAGUAUAAACAGGAUGUUUUCGGAGAUGCAUUUCCGAAACACCUUAAAAUUUGAUUUGGGGUGCUUUCGGAGAUGCAUCUCCUAAGGACAUUUUGGAAUUAGGGGUGCAUUCAAAGAUGCAUUUUCGAAUGAAAUUUUGAGAUUUUCAAAGAUUUUUUUAGGUGUACAAAAAAA